rnacentral:rRNA from 1 species
AGUGAACGCUGGCGGUAGGCCUAACACAUGCAAGUCGAACGGCAGCACAGUAAGAGCUUGCUCUUACGGGUGGCGAGUGGCGGACGGGUGAGGAAUACAUCGGAAUCUACUUUUUCGUGGGGGGUAACGUAGGGAAACUUACGCUAAUACCGCAUACGACCUACGGGUGAAAGCAGGGGAUCUUCGGACCUUGCGCGAUUGAAUGAGCCGAUGUCGGAUUAGCUAGUUGGCGGGGUAAAGGCCCACCAAGGCGACGAUCCGUAGCUGGUCUGAGAGGAUGAUCAGCCACACUGGAACUUAGACACGGUCCAGACUCCUACGGGAGGCAGCAGUGGGGAAUAUUGGACAAUGGGCGCAAGCCUGAUCCAGCCAUACCGCGUGGGUGAAGAAGGCCUUCGGGUUGUAAAGCCCUUUUGUUGGGAAAGAAAAGCAGCAGGUUAAUACCCCGCUGUUCUGACGGUACCCAAAGAAUAAGCACCGGCUAACUUCGUG